CUUACCUUGGGAGGAAAUAGGUAAUCAAGCCUAAUGCUUCCCCUCCCAGUCUACCUGAGAAACUCAGGGUGUGAAGAGGUCUGAGCUGGUUGCUCUAGCUCAGCCACAUGACUCACCGGCUAAUAAUCUAGGAACUUCUGCCAUUUUGUAACAAAGCUAAGUUUUUCUGCUUGCGCACGUUUUCUGACUGAUGUGUCAAAAAGCACAUUAAUCUGAGCUUUGAAGAUUUUGCAAGGGUCCACAGCUCAGUUCCUAGCUGGCCAGGUGGGGCUCAUUAGCUCUGGAAGAAGGUGUAUGAUUCCUCAGCUGGAGUAGGUGAGGGUCACAGGCCUCAUCAAGCCCAGAUGCUGCAAUCAAGUGCAAAAGGGAAGCUGAGCUGAGGUCUCUGCAAGACUCCAGGAUCUCUGCAAGAGUUCGGUUUGGAUUUCGGAAAUAUGGAAUGACCCCAGACUUGACUUCCUGACUUGCUGCCAGCUGGAGACUGAAUGUUGCAGCCAAAGAAGGCGUCUGAAACCUCUUUUGAGUAUGUGCUGCGAAUAUUGUUACACAUCACUCUAACCUCUGAAAAUGAGAGACACCAGGCGUUCCAGUGCUUAUCGGAGACUUGGAAGGAAGCACUGCUACCUGAGAUUCUGUGAACUGCAGAUGCCAACAACUGAAUGAGGGAUCUUCUGCAAGCCAAGCAUGUGUUUUUCUGGCUACUUAGCUAAGCAAGGCCUUGUAAAUGUCCAGGUAUCAUCUCUGGAUAUGAACGUAAUUUUUAUGGUUCUAUCCUUACAUUUGGUUUUUUGUUUUUUGUCUCAUGAGUGGGGAAGAGUUAUAAAAGGAAUGAAUACUAAAGGUCUUCAAUCAAGUAUUCGGCCGAUUCAUAUUCCAUGUAUUUGUGGGAGGGGAGUUACUGGCUCGUUCUUAUUAUGUAUUUUGUAUUCUCAUUUUGAUUUUUCUGUUGUGAACUCUGCUGGGAUCAUUGGGUGAAGGGCGAUAUAAAAAUUCAACAAACUAACAACAAUAAAGGUAUAGAUGGGUGGAACAGAAAAAAUAGCCAUUGGGUGAAAAUAAAAAUAUGCAUAGCACCAAAUCAAAUGCUGGCUGAACCACUGGCAUCAGCUCCCCACACCCACAAGCUGUCUUUUAAUUAUUUUUAAAAAAAUGUAUUUAUCCAUUCAUUCAUUUAUCAGCUGCUUCCAAUUAUCAUCAUCAUCAUCAUCAUUAUUAUUAUUAUUAGAAAAUCCAUUCCAAUAAGUGGAAGGGAAUAUCUUUUUGUAACAUUGCGAGAGGAUAACUAUAAAGAGUACUGCAAACUUGCAUACACUCCCUACCCCUCUUGAUGAGAAACACUGGGAUGUUUUGUUCUACACCUUCUCCCCUAAACUGUGUUUUAACACUUGGCUUCCAUCCCCAGGUGUCACUUUAGAAUUGUUUGAUCAUCUAGCACAGGCAUAGCUAACAGGACCAGUGGGCAGGGAUGAUGGGAAUUGCUAACAGGACCAGAGGGCAGGGAUGAUGGGAAUUGUAGUCCCAAAACAGCUGGAGGGCCAAGUUUGGGGGUGCCUGAUCUAGCAGUAGCAACUCAUGGCGACUCUCAGCUUAGGCUUGGGUUACAUUCCGUGAGCAGCGCAUAAAGCCAAAAUCCCGUGUAGUCU